rnacentral:rRNA from 1 species
UACGUAGGGUGCAAGCGUUAAUCGGAAUUACUGGGCGUAAAGCGAGCGCAGGCGGUUUGUUAAGUCAGAUGUGAAAGCCCCGAGCUCAACUUGGGAAUUGCGUUUGAAACUGGCAAGCUAGAGUGUGUCAGAGGGGGGUAGAAUUCCACGUGUAGCAGUGAAAUGCGUAGAGAUGUGGAGGAAUACCGAUGGCGAAGGCAGCCCCCUGGGAUAACACUGACGCUCAUGCUCGAAAGCGUGGGUAGCAAACAGG